UGUGACCCUUCAUAGUAAUGAUGAUAGAUGUGUUGCUGGUUGUGCUUUACAGAAAUAUUAUGUUUCUGCAGCCAUCACUAUGUGUUUUUAUUUGACUAUUGAUGCUUAUGGGAUAUUAAAUAUGUGAUUGAUUUUUGGUGUUUGAACCAAAUGUGGAUCAGAUCAUCAGGGCUGCAAAUCGUCUGAGAAGAAAACACUGAUGGUUUAGGGUUCGGUGUCAGCGAGCCCAGGCUCGUCUUACCAACCAAGCCUCCACGCUUCAUGACUUCAUGUAACCAGAGCCAUCCCUCCUCUUUAAUCGCGAGCCCGACCUUGUCGCCAUUUGGAGUCAAUCCGUAUCCUGAUUCUGUCAUUCCUUGGCUCAAGAAUCUCUCAUCUUCAUCCCUUGCUUCCAAAGCUCCUCAUUUUCACAUCCAGAAUAGCUCCAUGAGUGCACCAGUGACCUCACCAACUGCUCGGUCCCCACCUUGAAAACCAAGAUUUGUGGUUUAAAAUGACUCGAAGAAGAGAUGUUCAUCUAGCAUUAGCAUUGCAUUGCAUUGAAUAAACACACACUCCAAUUUGAGACACUUAAAUCACCACAGAGCACCAAUUUUGAGUCAAAUGGCUUUUUUAAGAAAUAAUUUUGUAAUAUUUCGUAUUUGUUUUGCUAGUGUUCACUAACAAAAUAUUUUUUUAUUUUGUUCAAUUUUUUAAUUUUUAUUUAUUUUUUAUAUAUAUGUAUAUUUUUUUAGCAUUUUUUUAACUCUUCCUUACUUGAACCCAUCCUGAUCCAAACCCAUCCUGACCCAAACCCAUUCUAACUUUUCUUUCAAUUUACCCAUCCUGGCCCAAACCCAUCUUGACCCAACAACCAACCCAACCCAACCCACCCAUUUUGCCACCCCUGGGUAUAAACGGUUCUUGUCAGAACCUAUUGUCAAUUAAGUCUCAAAAUUAACAAGUAAAUAAAAACAAUCAAACCAUUCAAAAAGUAUAACUGAAUGACUUAUGUUUGGUGUGUGUCGUUUUCACUAAAAUCCAUGAAGUCUAUUGAAAGAUCAAGGCAAAAGAGGACACAAUGUUCUGAAACAAUGCUGCAGAAUUUAAAACCGACUUUAAGAGGCCAUAUCUUGGUCAUUUCGAAAUCUUUUUGAGCGGGUUUUAGCCUAAAAUGUAGUACUUUGAGCGGAUUAUUCACCCAAAAAGUUUCGUAACUUUUGAAUACCAUUUGAGCCCCCAAAACGGUUCGCAAAACUGAAUGUCAAAGCUGUCAGCUUUGGACAGAUUUUGCAUCAAAACAGCCAGCUUUGGACAAAUUGUGCAUUAAUUUUAAGGUCUACUAGGGAGCCUCAUAUUGUAUACUAUAUUUACUUAGAUUCAUGCGGGUAAACUAUGAUCUGUUUUGCAUGUUUUAGCAUGUAUACUAUACUGAUUCUCAAAUUUCUUUUCAAUAUUUUAGGUUUGUAGACUCAAAGGUACAUAGACGUGUAAAGGAAAUACUUGAACAAUGUCUUGAUGGAGAUUGGGUCACGUUUAAAACGAUCCCCCAAAACGUAAAGACGCGCAUGUUUGACCGCUUCGGGACUAUGUAUAGGUGGGAUCCAAAAGCACACCAGAGCAUACGUCAUUCGUUUAUUUGUGUGCUCAAGGGUCGAUUUAGAGGCAUAAUGAGCGAUACGAGGAAAAGUUCUAAAAAGAAAGCUUUAAAGGCGAGGGAAGAUAUUCCCGAUGACGGAUACAAUUUUAAGAUACAAUGCAAAUAUCCGCCCAAUGGAGUGCCUCGUAGGAAAUGGGAACGUAUGUGUAUGUCUUGGAACACUAAAGAUUGGGAAAGAAGUCCAAAGCAGGGAGAGAAAACUAGAAGAAUGACUUAUGUCGUCAUACAGACGGGUCCAAAGGGUUUGACGAACACCGUCGCAACUUGGAAAAAAUAAAGGGUAAAAAGGUUGGAUUCGCGGAAGUAUUACUUCAUACCCACGCCACCAAAGAGUGUAAAAAGAGAUUAAAUGAUGGGGAGACCAGUGCAAAUGACUAUGAUAAGUUAGAGUUUGUUACCGAUCGUUCAAAACGUUCAUAUGUCUCCUACAUGAAAAAACUUGAAAAUAAAUAUGGGAACACGGAUUGCGAUGAUAUGGAAGUGUGGGAGAGUCUGCAUCCCGAGUGUCAGGGUCGUCAGUUGUUUGGGGUAGGAUCUUCUGAUCCACAUUUUGUGUUGUCUGGAACAAAAUCUUCCACAGCUAGUGUGUCAGAUACUCGACAAUCGCAUGAGCUCCAAAAAGUUCAAGCUGAACUAGGAAAGGAACGAGAGGCUCGACAAAACAUUGAAGCCCGUUUUGAACAAUUUGAACAAGAGAGGUUACAAGAAAGGGUUGAAUGUGAACGAGAGCGGGAACAAGAACGUGUUGAACGUGAACGAGAGCGGACCGAACAUGCUCGAUGGCAGAAAUACAUGGAAGCAAAGUUUAAUAAAUUCGGAAAAAAGUAAUUUUUUUAUGUAUGUUAAAGAUCAUGUUAGUUUUGUUACAAAAACGUGCAUUUUGUUUUUUAUUCUAAGACUGUAAACAUGUUUUUUUGUUGGAAUCUUUAGGAUUUUCUGCAAUUUAUUUAAAAGAAUUUGGUUUUGAUU